GACGAACGCUGGCGGCGUACUUAACACAUGCAAGUCGAACGGAAAGGCCCUGCUUUUGUGGGGUGCUCGAGUGGCGAACGGGUGAGUAACACGUGAGUAACCUGCCCUUGACUUUGGGAUAACUUCAGGAAACUGGGGCUAAUACCGGAUAGGAGCUCCUGCUGCAUGGUGGUGGUUGGAAAGUUUCGGCGGUUGGGGAUGGACUCGCGGCUUAUCAGCUUGUUGGUGGGGUAGUGGCUUACCAAGGCUUUGACGGGUAGCCGGCCUGAGAGGGUGACCGGCCACAUUGGGACUGAGAUACGGCCCAGACUCCUACGGGAGGCAGCAGUGGGGAAUAUUGCACAAUGGGCGGAAGCCUGAUGCAGCAACGCCGCGUGCGGGAUGACGGCCUUCGGGUUGUAAACCGCUUUCGCCUGUGACGAAGCGUGAGUGACGGUAAUGGGUAAAGAAGCACCGGCUAACUACGUG
rnacentral:rRNA from 1 species